rnacentral:rRNA from 1 species
CCGACGGGUGGCAGCAGGGAGGAAUAUGGGGCAAUGGGCGCGAGCCUGAACAAGCCAAGUAGCGUGAAGGAUGACAGCCCUACGGGUGGUAAACUUCUGUUAUAAAGGAAUAAAGUGAGGCACGUGUGCCUUUUUGUAUGUACUUUAUGAAUAAGGAUCGGCUAACUCCGUGCCAGCAGCCGCGGUAAUACGGAGGAUCCGAGCGUUAUCCGGAUUUAUUGGGUUUAAAGGGAGCGUAGAUGGGUUGUUAAGUCAGUUGUGAAAGUUUGCGGCUCAACCGUAAAAUUGCAAUUGAUACUGGCAGUCUUGAGUACAGUUGAGGUCGGCGGAAUUCGUGGUGUAGCGGUGAAAUGCUUAGAUAUCACGAAGAACUCCGAUUGCGAAGGCAGCUUACUAAACUGCCACUGACAUUGAUGCUCGACAGUGUGGGUAUCAAACAGGAUUAGAUACCCCGGUAGUC